AGGCGGCUGCGGCGUGCGUGCAGGGCUUUAUUCCGGCGACCUUACAUUCACGUCAGGGAACUGGCAGAACUGCCUGGAUCGUGGUCCAGGUAACCGGUGCCCACCUAGCUUGCUGGGUCGACGGGAACAAACAUACUGCACGGCGCACGCGGUUGCCCU
rnacentral:other from 2 species